CCUUACACGAUGUACGAUCCAUUAGGUUCCUUUUAGCGAGGCAGUGGGCGAUUAAAACUCUUUUAAAUCGAUUAUGAAUUGAAACUUACUUUCAAUUCUCCUUUUAAUGUUUAUACACGUUUAGGGCUUCCACAAACCAAGAGUGACACCUAGCAGCAUAUCAUGGUUACCCAAGCUAAUCAGAAUAGGUAGAGAACCUAUUCAGUUAGGAUUACAAAUGCAAUACGGUCUUUCUCUAAUACAAUACUCUUGACCACAUUGUUUGGUUUGAUA
rnacentral:lncRNA from 1 species